UACGUAGGGUGCGAGCGUUAAUCGGAAUUACUGGGCGUAAAGCGUGCGCAGGCGGUUUUUCAAGUCUGAUGUGAAAGCCCUGGGCUCAACCUGGGAAUUGCAUUGGAUACUGGCAGGCUAGAGUGCGGUAGAGGGUAGUGGAAUUCCCGGUGUAGCAGUGAAAUGCGUAGAGAUCGGGAGGAACAUCUGUGGCGAAGGCGACUACCUGGACCAGCACUGACACUGAGGCACGAAAGCGUGGGGAGCAAACAGA
rnacentral:rRNA from 1 species